CCUACGGGAGGCAGCAGUGAGGAAUAUUGGUCAAUGGGCGAGAGCCUGAACCAGCCAAGUAGCGUGCAGGAUGACGGCCCUAUGGGUUGUAAACUGCUUUUAUAAGGGAAUAAAGUGGGUCUCGUGAGACUUUUUGCAUGUACCUUAUGAAUAAGGACCGGCUAAUUCCGUGCCAGCAGC
rnacentral:rRNA from 1 species